GACGAACGCUGGCGGCGUGCCUAACACAUGCAAGUCGAACGAAGUGGCGAACGGGUGAGUAAUACGUGGGUAACCUGCCCUCCUUUUUGGGAUAAGCCUUGGAAACGGGGUCUAAUACCGAAUGAAGGGGGAUGGGCUCGCGGCCUAUCCGCUUGUUGGUUGGGUGAAGGCCUACAAAGGCGGUGACGGGUAGCCGGCCUGAGAGGGUGAUCGGACACAGUGGGAGUGGGAUACGGCUCAGAAUCCUACGGGAGGCAGCAGUGGGGGAUAUUGCACAGUGGGAGAAAGCCUGAUGCAGCGACGCCGCGUGGGGGAUGAAGGCUUACGGUUUGUAAACCUAUUACGAUAUCGAACGGGUAAGUGGAGAAGAAGCGCCGGCUAACUACGUGCCAGCCGCCGCGGUAAUAC
rnacentral:rRNA from 1 species